GAAAACAUGGCUUUUGAACACCA
rnacentral:piRNA from 1 species